rnacentral:tRNA from 1 species
GGGGGUAUGGCCCAACUAGUACAGUGCUUGCUUCCCAAGCAAGAGGCCCUGAGUUCAACCCCCAGUACCACCA